rnacentral:rRNA from 1 species
GAAGGAAUAGUCGGCAAUGGGCGAAAGCCUGACCGUGCGACGUCGCGUGAAGGAAGAAGGCCUUCGGGUUGUAAACUUCUUUUAUGAGGGAUGAUUAUGACAGUACCUCAUGAAUAAGGGCCUGCUAACUACGUGCCAGCAGCCGCGGUAAUACGUAGGGCCCGAGCGUUAUCCGGAAUUAUUGGGCGUAAAGAGCGUGUAGGCGUUUCGUUAAGUCGGUCGUUAAAUCUUACGGCUCAACCGUAAACAGGCGAGCGAUACUAGCGAAAUUGAGUUUUGCAGGGGCAAGCAGAAUUCCCAGAGUAGGGGUGAAAUCCGUUGAUACUGGGAGGAAUACCAAUGGCGAAGGCAGCUUGCUGGGCAAUAACUGACGCUGAGACGCGAAAGCGUGGGGAGCGAACGGG